rnacentral:rRNA from 1 species
GGGCCCGCACAAGCGGUGGAGCAUGUGGUUUAAUUCGAUGAUACGCGAGGAACCUUACCAGGGCUUAAAUGGAAAAUGACAGGGGCAGAGACGCCCCCUUCUUCGGACAUUUUUCAAGGUGCUGCAUGGUUGUCGUCAGCUCGUGCCGUGAGGUGUCAGGUUAAGUCCUAUAACGAGCGCAACCCCUACCGUUAGUUGCCAGCGAGUAAUGUCGGGGACUCUAACGGAACUGCCGGUGCAAACCGUGAGGAAGGUGGGGACGACGUCAAAUCAUCACGGCCCUUACGUCCUGGCCACACACGUGCUACAAUGGUAGGUACAGAGGGAAGCCACCCCAGCGAGGGGGGCGGA